ensembl:lncRNA
GCCUGAGAGAGGUGGGAUUAAAGAGCUGAGGUCUAUGGUGAUAGGUGGGAUGGGCUGAGAGAGGUUGUAUUAGAGAGCUGAGGUCUAUGGUGAUAGGUGGGAUUAAAGAGCUGAUGUUUGGUAAUGUAUUAGUGUUAUGUGACUGCUUUAUACAAAAAUAUGUCAAAUAUUAAAUAUUUAAUAUUAAUUAAUAUUAAUAUUAAAAGGUCAAUGUAAAAUAUCUGUACAGUACCAGUCUAAAGUUUGGAUACAAUUUCUCAAUCCAGGGUUUUUCUUAAUGUUGUACUAUUUUCUACAUUGUAUAAUAAUAGUGAAGACAUUAAAACUAUGUUGGGAGGCCCACUUUUUUGUUUUUCUUUUCCUGUUGAUACUGAUUGUGUUAUUUAUUAUUAAACUAUAUUUCUUAACAGUUUUUUUCUUUUCUAAGGGUACAGGUUUUAUUCACUUACAAUUUGACAUGGAUAAUGAACCUGUAACCCAAAAAUUAUUAAACAAAUUAAGAAUUUAACCGACUGGCACCCGGGCUAGCAGGACAACCUCUCACCUAUAAAAG